CAUGGUGGGGGUUGGAAAGAUUUUUUGGUCUGGGAUGGGCUCGCGGCCUAUCAGCUUGUUGGUGAGGUAAUGGCUCACCAAGGCGUCGACGGGUAGCCGGCCUGAGAGGGUGACCGGCCACACUGGGACUGAGACACGGCCCAGACUCCUACGGGAGGCAGCAGUGGGGAAUAUUGCACAAUGGGCGAAAGCCUGAUGCAGCAACGCCGCGUGAGGGAUGACGGCCUUCGGGUUGUAAACCUCUUUUAGCAGGGAAGAAGCGAAAGUGACGGUACCUGCAGAAAAAGCGCCGGCUAACUACGUGCCAGCAGCCGCGGUAAUACGUAGGGCGCAAGCGUUAUCCGGAAUUAUUGGGCGUAAAGAGCUCGUAGGCGGUUUGUCGCGUCUGCUGUGAAAUCCCGAGGCUCAACCUCGGGCCUGCAGUGGGUACGGGCAGACUAGAGUGCGGUAGGGGAGAUUGGAAUUCCUGGUGUAGCGGUGGAAUGCGCAGAUAUCAGGAGGAACACCGAUGGCGAAGGCAGAUCUCUGGGCCGUAACUGACGCUGAGGAGCGAAAGGGUGGGGAGCAAACAGGCUUAGAUACCCUGGUAGUCCACCCCGUAAACGUUGGGAACUAGUUGUGGGG
rnacentral:rRNA from 1 species